CAGCCUGACACGAAGGCGGCGCUGGCCAUCGACUACUGCUGCAACGUCACUGCCGCCGCCGGUGACCGCGGACCGCCAACGCCGAGCAAGAUGGUGGAGUGCAGGAUCUGCCAGGAGCAGGACUGGGACUCCAGCAUGGAAGCCCCCUGCUCCUGCCACGACAGCCUCAAGGCUGACAAGGACACUGACGAGGUCUACGCAUAGAUGACUCUGCAACCAAUAAACUCUGUGUUGUGUGUUCUGGAAGACGGAAGAGGAAGAAAACUUAUUUUUGUUGAACUAAAUUUUAUGUAUUCUGUUUUGUUGUACGUAUCAUUUGAUACUUUUGUAUAGGAACAAGUGAUACUAUUUUGUAGGGCUUUAUGGCCUGUGAUGUAAAGAUAUUUAGUGCUGAAAUAUGAAAUUAUUUGCAAAAUUUGUCGAAAAGGAGGAUCAUUUGUACGAAUA